rnacentral:rRNA from 1 species
GACGAACGCUGGCGGCGUGCUUAACACAUGCAAGUCGAACGGUAAGGCCCUUCGGGGUACACGAGUGGCGAACGGGUGAGUAACACGUGGGUGAUCUGCCCUGCGCUUCGGGAUAAGCCUGGGAAACUGGGUCUAAUACCGGAUAGGACCCUGGGAUGCAUGUCCUGGGGUGGAAAGCUUUUGUGGUGUGGGAUGGGCCCGCGGCCUAUCAGCUUGUUGGUGGGGUGGUGGCCUACCAAGGCGACGACGGGUAGCCGGCCUGAGAGGGUGACCGGCCACACUGGGACUGAGAUACGGCGCAGACUCCUACGGGAGGCAGCAGUGGGGAAUAUUGCGCAAUGGGCGCAAGCCUGAUGGAGCGACGCCGCGUGAGGGAUGACGGCCUUCGGGUUGUAAACCUCUUUCAGCACCGACGAAGCGCAAGUGACGGUAGGUGCAGAAGAAGGACCGGCCAACUACGUGCCAGCCGCCGCCGUAA